UACAGAGGUCUCGAGCGUUAGGCGGAAUCACUGGGCUUAAAGCGUGUGUAGGUGGAUCGUUAAGUACCUUGUGAAAUCCCACGGCUUAACCGUGGAACUGCUUGGUAUACUGGCGGUCUUGAGCCACUUAGGGGCUACCGGAACAAAUGGUGGAGCGGUGAAAUGCGUAGAGAUCCGGAGGAACACCAAAGGCGAAGGCAGUGUCCUGGGGAGUACCUGACGCUCAGGUGCGAAAGCCAGGGAGCGAACGGG
rnacentral:rRNA from 1 species